ACAGGGAUUGCCCUAGUAACGGCGAGUGAAGCGGCAACAGCUCAAAUUUGAAAUCUGGCGUCUUUGGCGUCCGAGUUGUAAUUUGCAGAGGGCGCUUUGGCAUUGGCAGCGGUCCAAGUUCCUUGGAACAGGACGUCACAGAGGGUGAGAAUCCCGUACGUGGUCGCUAGCCUUUACCGUGUAAAGCCCCUUCGACGAGUCGAGUUGUUUGGGAAUGCAGCUCUAAAUGGGAGGUAAAUUUCUUCUAAAGCUAAAUACUGGCCAGAGACCGAUAGCGCACAAGUAGAGUGAUCGAAAGAUGAAAAGCACUUUGGAAAGAGAGUUAAAAAGCACGUGAAAUUGUUGAAAGGGAAGCGCUUGCAGCCAGACUUGCCUGUAGUUGCUCAUCCGGGUUUUUACCCGGUGCACUCUUCUACGGGCAGGCCAGCAUCAGUUUGGGCGGUUGGAUAAAGGUCUCUGUCAUGUACCUCCUCUCGGGGAGAUCUUAUAGGGGAGACGACAUGCAACCAGCCUGGACUGAGGUCCGCGCAUCUGCUAGGAUGCUGGCGUAAUGGCUGUAAGCGGCCCGUCUUGAAACACGGACCAAGGAGUCUAACAUCUAUGCGAGUGUUUGGGUGUCAAGCCCGAACGCGUAAUGAAAGUGAACGGAGGUGGGAACCUUUCGGGGUGCACCAUCGACCGAUCCUGAUGUCUUCGGAUGGAUUUGAGUAAGAGCAUAGCUGUUGGGACCCGAAAGAUGGUGAACUAUGCUUGAAUAGGGUGAAGCCAGAGGAAACUCUGGUGGAGGCUCGCAGCGGUUCUGACGUGCAAAUCGAUCGUCAAAUUUGGGCAUAGGGGCGAAAGACUAAUCGAACUAUCUAGUAGCUGGUUCCUGCCGAAGUUUCCCUCAGGAUAGCAGUAACGUUUUCAGUUUUAUGAGGUAAAGCGAAUGAUUAGAGGCCUGGGGGUUGAAACAACCUU
rnacentral:rRNA from 2 species